rnacentral:rRNA from 1 species
UUAGAGUCCUCGGCUCAGGAGUGACGCUGGCGGCGUGCCUAACACAUGCAAGUCGAACGGGUCGUAGUGCGGAAGUUUCGGAUGAAGGAGUUAAGACGUAGUGGCGGACGGUGAGUAACGCGUGGGUAACCUGCCUGUACACGGGAGUAACAGUUGAACGGCUGCUAAACCGCAUAACAUGGAGAUACCGCAUGAUAUUUCCAUCAAAUAGUUAUAGGUACAGGAUGGGCCCGCGUCUGAUUAGCCAGUUGGCAGGGUAAUGGCCUACCAAAGCGACGAUCAGUAGCCGGCUUGAGAGAGUGACCGGCCACAUUGGGACUGAGACACGGCCCAAACUCCUACGGGAGGCAGCAGUCGGGGAUAUUGCACAAUGGGGAAACCCUGAUGCAGCGACGCCGCGUGAGUGAAGAAGUAUUUCGGUAUGUAAAGCUCUAUCGGCAGGGAAGAAAAAGCGCGCGAGCGCCCUUGACAGUACCUGACUAAGAAGCCCCGGCUAACUACGUG